rfam:Anolis carolinensis unplaced genomic scaffold chrTn0235, whole genome shotgun sequence.
GAAUCUGCUGGGCGAUCUGGCUGCGACAUCUGUCACCCCAUUGAUCGCCAGGGUUGAUUCGGCUGAUCUGGCUGGCUAGGUGGGUGUCCCCUUCCUCCCUCACCGCUCCAUGUGCGUCCCUCCCGAAGCUGCGUGCUCGGUGGAAGAGGACAACGUCCCAGGUAUAGAAGGAGUGUAUUGAAGUCUCCAGUCUUCGGCCCCGAGUAUACGAUAGCUGCGCUCCCCUGCUAGAACCUCUAAACAUGCUGGAUUUUGAAUAUGGAGUUAUGCCAUUUGUAGGUCCUUCGUCAUGAUUCUGU